GAUGAACGCUGGCGGCGUGCCUAAUACAUGCAAGUCGAGCGAACGGACGAGAAGCUUGCUUCUCUGAUGUUAGCGGCGGACGGGUGAGUAACACGUGGAUAACCUACCUAUAAGACUGGGAUAACUUCGGGAAACCGGAGCUAAUACCGGAUAAUAUUUUGAACCGCAUGGUUCAAAAGUGAAAGACGGCCUUGCUGUCACUUUUAGAUGGAUCCGCGCUGCAUUAGCUAGUUGGUAAGGUAACGGCUUACCAAGGCAACGAUGCAUAGCCGACCUGAGAGGGUGAUCGGCCACACUGGAACUGAGACACGGUCCAGACUCCUACGGGAGGCAGCAGUAGGGAAUCUUCCGCAAUGGGCGAAAGCCUGACGGAGCAACGCCGCGUGAGUGAUGAAGGUCUUCGGAUCGUAAAACUCUGUUAUUAGGGAAGAACAUAUGUGUAAGUAACUGUGCACAUCUUGACGGUACCUAAUCAGAAAGCCACGGCUAACUACGUG
rnacentral:rRNA from 1 species